ensembl:lncRNA
AGGACAGGUAGGACACAGGACAGGUAGGACACAGGACAGUAAUACUGGUGUGACUACAGGUAGUACACAGGACAGGUACAGUAGGACACAGGACAGGUAGGACACAGGACAGGUAAAGUAGGACACAGGACAGUAAUACUGGUGUGACUACAGGUAGGACACAGGACAGGUACAGUAGGAAACAGGACAGGUACAGUAGGACACAGGGCAGGUAGGACACAGGACAGUAAUACUGGUGUGACUACAGGUAGGACACAGAACAGGUACAGUAGGACACAGGACAGGUACAGUAGGACACAGGACAGGUAGGACACAGGACAGGUACAGUAGGACACAGGACAGGUAGGACACAGGACAGGUAGGACUCAGGACAGGUAGGACUCAGGACAGUAAUACUGGUGUGACUACAGGUAGGACACAGGACAGGUAGGACACAGGACAGGUAGGACUCAGGACAGGUAGGACUCAGGACAGUAAUACUG